GACGAACGCUGGCGGCGUGCUUAACACAUGCAAGUCGAACGAUGAAGCCGGAGCUUGCUCCUGUGGAUUAGUGGCGAACGGGUGAGUAACACGUGAGCAAUCUGCCCUUGACUCUGGGAUAACUGCGGGAAACUGUAGCCAAUACCGGAUACGACACCUUGGGGCAUCCCAGGGUGUGGAAAGAAUUUCGGUCAAGGAUGAGCUCGCGGCCUAUCAGCUAGUUGGUGAGGUAAUGGCGCACCAAGGCGACGACGGGUAGCCGGCCUGAGAGGGUGACCGGCCACACUUGACCUGAGACACGGUCCAGACUACGACGGGAGGCAGCAGUGGGGAAUAUUGCACAAUGGGCGAAAGCCUGGUGCAGCAACGCCGCGUGAGGGAUGACAGCCUUCGGGUUGUAAACCUCUUUUAGCAGGGAAGAAGCGGAAGUGACGGUACCUGCAGAAAAAGCACCGGCUAACUACGUGCCAGCCGCCGCCGUAA
rnacentral:rRNA from 1 species